UGCCAGCUGACGAGUCCCACAUAGGACGAAAUGUGCGUUAUCCUGGAU
rnacentral:hammerhead_ribozyme from 1 species